GCUGAGUCGGAGGUCGAGUCAAAACUGAGCGCAAAUCAGACGGGAGCGAAGAGAAAUUUCGGCUCAAGGCAUCUUCACCGAUUCAAUCCAGAGAGGUUUUGCGCGACCGAGAUUAAAAAUGCUGUCGACGAUUCUGCUGCACGUCCUGAUCAUAUCAUCCGUCAUGACAACCGUCACUGGCCAGACGACGACGGUUGCGACGACGACGACUGCCGCCACCACGACUGUCGCCGCGAACACCACGAGCGCCGCCGCCCCGGCUGCACGUGCUGGGGUCACGUUCAUGAGCGGCCUGAUACUGUGUCACGUCAGCGUGUCGCUGCUCAAGCGCGGUCUCUGACAGAAUGUGAUUAUUGUUACCACUCACACGGUUGUGUGCAAUAACCCCCACGAUGACGACGCUGGUGUUGACGGGAUUUAUUUAAAGUCCAUAUGAUGCAAAGUGUUCAAUAAAACGUGGUCAAACACA